UCAUAUAAAGAAUUAUUUACUAGUCAUUUGUUUCUUUUGUAGAAAAGUGCGCAAAGGCAUUAUAAACUUCAAGAUCCAGACUAGUGGUUAAGGGAACCGGUCAAGUGAAAAGAAAGAAGAAAGACAGAGGGACUUGUGUGUGAAGAAAUGAUGCUCCAGGGGACAAGUUAAAGAAGAAAGGGACCUUCUUGUGAAGAAAGAAGAAAAGGAGAAGGGCCAAAAUUGCAAAGUGGCAGAUCAGAGGAGGGGUCAAAAUCCCUAGAGGCUGCCGAUCCCCAUCGGGUCUGGCAUCUCCAUCUCUCUCCCUCACCACUUCUUCUUCCAUCUCCGGCCGCCGCCGCGGCCAGGCUGGCGUGGCGGCGCGCCACCCAGCACCUCCACACGCUCCACACCGCCGCCAUCCAUCACCACCACUCCCCGCUUCACCGUGCCACCAUCACCACCGCACCACUGAGCACCUCCGCGCGAGAGUUUCCUUGCUGCUGCUCCUUCUUCCCUCGCCUUGCUGCUGCUUCUACUGCUUCUUCUCCAAGCCCCGCUGCUGCUCCCUUCUUGUUGCGCCCCUGCUCCUCCUUCUCCUCUCUCCAUCCCCACGUUGCUGCUGCUUCUUCUUGCGACUUCCUGCUCCCUUCGCCUACCUUGCUGCUCCCUGUCUCUUCUCAGAACCUUUUGCUGCUCCUCCUUCCCCCACGAACCUGCUGCUGCUCCUUCCUCAAUCUCCUACUGCUUCUCUUCUUCUUCUAUCUUGCCGCUGCUUAUCUCUCUUUCUGAAUUUUCUGUAAUAGGAGAUGUGUAGUACUUGUAAGGUUCAGAUUUUGAUAAGUGUUUGCAACCAACUAGUUUGCUCAGUUCGUACUUGUUAAAUAUCAUGUCCUAAAUUCUAUGUUCUGAAUAGUGGAUUUCUUGUUGCUUUGGGAACUAACUAAUAUGCAAUAUUUUGUUACUUUGGUAAUAUGUGUUCUGUCAGCAUAUAUGUGUGUUCACCCUGUGUAUUUCUUCUCGCUGUACUAGUUAAUUUCUACCAGUAAUUUUUAGUUGUUAAAUACUGUUGUGUUGUUCUGUGGGUACUAAUCUUGUGGCUUGGAAGAUUUCAUUUCUGUUGUCUCUUGUUAACCUGAACCGUGGUGUAGUAUCCUGUUCGCAUAUGUGUGGUUUUGUGUGUUCUGUAGUACGUGUAUUAGCUAUGUACCUGUGAUAUAUAAAUGUGUGUGUGUGUGUGUGUUUGAUUCGAUACAAUUAUAUUUUGUCAUAUAUUCUCGCUUCUUCCCUUUGUUUAUGUUUGAUAGUAAUGUGUCCUUGUCAUGUUAUGUUCAUGUCCUUCCACUUCUCUUGUCAUUGAUGUAUACUCGUAUUAGUAUUUUAACUUCUCAAGCAUUACGAAAAUACCAAAAAGACAAUGAGUAAAAUCUGAAUCUCCCUUUUGCUUAUUUUCAUUUUCUUUGUUGUCGACUUUGGUUAGUUUAGGUCUAUAUUUCCUCGCAAUCAUCAUCUGAACUCUGUCACCUAGCUUUAGCCGAGCAUCAUUGCCGUCGCCUAGUCCCUGUGGAGAACACGACACUCACAGAAUGGGGCAUUAAAAACCCACUGUACCUACAACUGAUCAUUUUGGCGCCGUUGCCGGGGACUAGCGUCAUGCGAUUGUGUUAGGCUAUAGACUAGGUUUUUCUUCUUUCUCUAGUUUGUGCCAUACAUUUGUGAUAUGUCUCUAAUCACUAACCCCUGUUCUAGCUAGUAUCUUUUUGUUUUCUUUUCCUUUUGCAGGUUAGAGCUAUCUACUUGGUUAUGGCAUAUUAUUCAGAUUGUCUCGGAGAUGCGAGGAACACUACAAACAGCAUGGAAAGUAUUCAAGAACUGAUAAGUAAUAUUUCCCAUCGAUUAGAUGAUUUAGCUCGGCAGCGAGAAGUAGUUUUUGAGGAUAGGCCUAGCUCUUAUGAUCCUUAUUCUAGAGGUCAUCCUUAUGUUGCUCCUACAUGCCAUAUUUGUAGAUUUCAGGGCCAUUCACCCGCCGAAUGUCAGCGUGGUUACUCUCACGCUCCCGAUUGUUAUGGCAUGAGCUUCGCCCCACAGCCAAGCUCAUACCAAAACAAUUACUCACAUGGGUGGCCUGAAAACCAGAAUAUGUCAUAUAGGAGCAACAACCCUGAGAUCUCAUCGUUUGCCUCUAGUUAUCCAAUGCAGGGAUUUAGGUACAAUGAGGAGAGCCACAACUAUGCACCACAACAAUUUUAUUCACCUCCUACUCAUAUGCCUCAGCACCAGGAGAUGUUGCCAAUGGAGUUAAAUGGUCCUCCAUUUGGUCAACCAACAAUUCCAGCACCUAUCGUGCAAUCUCAUGUGCAAGUGCCCACACAAGAUGAGUUCGAUGACAUAGACAAGCUCACACUUUUGAGUCUCGAGUUCACUUGGAGUGCCGAGGAUGAUCCAAUUAGGCCGGUGAUACUAGAGGAAAUGAAGAAGAUCAAGAGUGGAAAAGAGCUAGUGGAAGAAGUAAGGAAAAUUCAGAAGAACAUCAAUGCUGGAAGUACUAUCUCCUCCCUCCUUGACUGAGUCUUGCCGAGAUUCCCCUUCAUACAUGUGAGGUUCCAACACCGUCACACCCAGCUGAGCAAGAUAGCGAGAGUCCAGAGAAAGAGAGACCUCAGAUUGAAGAUGAAUUAGAAGACAAGGAACAAGAUGAUCAAGAGCUGCAAUUCCCAAGUGAUCAAGAUGAAGAUCUGCUACCUAUCACUCAUGAAGAAGUAAAAGAAGCUGAUGUAGUUGAAGAUGAAGAACCUGAGAUUCAUUUUCCUAUUGUCAUACAAGAGCAUGAUAUAGUUUUUGCUACUGCACCGUUCACUACAUGCUGACCAGGUUCGAGGUGACAUUCCUUGGGACCCUGAUGGAUUUAGAGCAUGGUGAAGAGGAGAAGCAAUGGGCACAUACAAGGAAGAGAAAAGCUGGAGCAUGCACGAGGAUAGAGAAGCAAAAGGAGAGGAGUCACGAUGCAAGAGGAUGUGAGAUGAUCGAGCGAGUUCUACUUCAUAAAGCCCGGUGAGCUGUUUCAUGACCCCAAUCUGAAUAUAUCAUCUAUUGAUACAAGCUGAAAUCAAUUGCUAGUUGGGUUGCUUGAGCCAUUUCUUAAAUAUCGUCCCACUGAAUUUUACCUUCGACAUAGGGUGAUUGAUGUGAAUAUGUGAACUGAGUGUUGAAUGCCUUGUAAACUAGUGAUCUAUACAAUGCUUGCUUUGCUGAAAGUAGUGGAAGCUAUUAGUUUUGAGUGCUCAAAUCCCUAGUGCACUAGAAAACUUAAUCAUUUUUUGCAUUUACUAUGAUACACCUAGAUCACCAUGUUUAGAUGCUGAAUUUGUGCUAAGUGUGUUCCCAUUGAGAGCAAUCACCUAACCACUAUGGAUUAGCAUGCUAUGUUCCCUGGAUCGGUAGCAUGUGAACCAGACAUGGAGAAGUGAUGAUUCCUGUUUUUGUGCUUAUGCGUUGUUCAUUUAAGAUAGCUAAUAAUGAAUAAAUAAGUCUGGUCUACCUACAGUAGCAUGUCAUGUUCCCUAGAUCGGUGGCAUGUGAAAUCUGGUAGCUUGGACAGUAAUAAAUAAAUAAAAAUGUAAUUGUCGAACCAGGUGUAUACCAUGUUCUCGGGAUCGGUGGUAUAUUCCUUUGGGGAGAAAAACAAAAAAAACUAAUGAUUGGUCGAGCCAGGUGUAUACCAUGUUCUCGGGAUCGGUGGUAUGUUCCUUUGGUAAGACUGAUAAAAUAUUAUCAUUACUUUCUUCAAAUUCAAUAAGUGGUUCAACCACAAAAUUUUAUUUCUGCAAAUAAGAGAUUUAAUUCCAGUUCUUUUUGUUCUCGGGAUCAUGCUCUCUUUAGGAACCAUUUGGCGUAGUCAUCAUUUAAACUUGUUGAUCCUCUUUUAUCAUUGUAAAAUGGUCAUGCUUACUAGUAUCCUACUCCUUUGUAGCACUCUUAACCAUCAAUUUUCACUAGCUAAGUCCAAAGCAUGCAUUGUUUGGAGAUCUAUUUUACCAGGACAUCCUUUACUCAGCUCACUGUUCAUAUUCUUGCUCUUGUCAUCUACCUUUGUUUGAGGACAAGCAAAGAUUUAAGUGUGGGGGAACUUGAUCAACACAUUUCACAUACAUCUUCUGGCAAUCAAAUAUGUGGUUUAUUGAGUUUUAUUCAUUCAUUUCUUGCUAUGAAUUGUUGAAUUUGUGAAUGAUAAUCAUAUAAAGAAUCAUUUACUAGUCAUUUGUUUCUUUUGUAGAAAAGUGCGCAAAGGCACUAUAAACUUCAAGAUCCAGACUAGUGGUUAAGGGAACCGGUCAAGUGAAAAGAAAGAAGAAAGACAGAGGGACUUGUGUGUGAAGAAAUGAUGCUCCAGGGGACAAGUUAAAGAAGAAAGGGACCUUCUUGUGAAGAAAGAAGAAAAGGAGAAGGGCCAAAAUUGCAAAGUGGCAGAUCAGAGGAGGGGUCAAAAUCCCUAGAGGCUGCCGAUCCCCAUCGGGUCUGGCAUCUCCAUCUCUCUCCCUCACCACUUCUUCUUCCAUCUCCGGCCGCCGCCGCGGCCAGGCUGGCGUGGCGGCGCGCCACCCAGCACCUCCACACGCUCCACACCGCCGCCAUCCAUCACCACCACUCCCCGCUUCACCGUGCCACCAUCACCACCGCACCACUGAGCACCUCCGCGCGAGAGUUUCCUUGCUGCUGCUCCUUCUUCCCUCGCCUUGCUGUUGCUUCUACUGCUUCUUCUCCAAGCCCCGCUGCUGCUCCCUUCUUGUUGCGCCCCUGCUCCUCCUUCUCCUCUCUACAUCCCCGCGUUGCUGCUGCUUCUUCUUGCGACUUCCUGCUCCCUUCACCUACCUUACUGCUUCCUGUAUCUUCUCAGAACCUUUUGCUGCUCCUCCUUCCCCCACGAACUUGCUGCUGCUCCUUCCUCAAUCUCCUACUGCUUCUCUUCUUCUUCUAUCUUGUCGCUGCUUAUCUCUCUUUCUGAAUUUUCUGUAAUAGGAGAUGUGUAGUACUUGUAAGGUUCAGAUUUUGUUAAGUGUUUGCAACCAACUAGUUUGCUCAGUUCGUACUUGUUAAAUAUCAUGUCAUAAAUUCUAUGUUCUGAAUAGUGGAUUUCUUGUUGCUUUGGGAACUAACUAAUAUGCAAUAUUUUGUUACUUU